ACCAAGGCGACGAUCCGUAGCCGGUCUGAGAGGACGAUCGGCCACACUGGGACUGAGACACGGCCCAGACUCCUACGGGAGGCAGCAGUGGGGAAUUUUCCGCAAUGGGCGAAAGCCUGACGGAGCAAGACCGCGUGAGGGAGGAAGGCUCUUGGGUUGUAAACCUCUUUUCUCAAGGAAGAAGAAAUGACGGUACUUGAGGAAUCAGCAUCGGCUAACUCCGUGCCAGCAGCCGCGGUAAUACGGAGGAUGCAAGCGUUAUCCGGAAUGAUUGGGCGUAAAGCGUCCGCAGGUGGCAGUUCAAGUCUGCCGUUAAAGACUCCAGCUUAACUGGAGGAAGGCGGUGGAAACUGAACAGCUAGAGUGCGGUAGGGGCAGAGGGAAUUCCCGGUGUAGCGGUGAAAUGCGUAGAGAUCGGGAAGAACACCAGUGGCGAAAGCGCUCUGCUGGACCGCAACUGACACUCAGGGACGAAAGCUAGGGGAGCGAAUGGGAUUAGAUACCCCAGUAGUCCUAGCCGUAAACGAUGGAUACUAGGUGUUGUGCGUAUCGACCCGCGCAGUGCCGCAGCUAACGCGCUAAGUAUCCCGCCUGGGGAGUACGCACGCAAGUGUGAAACUCAAAGGAAUUGACGGGGGCCCGCACAAGCGGUGGAGUAUGUGGUUUAAUUCGAUGCAACGCGAAGAACCUUACCAGGACUUGACAUGUCCGGAAUCUCGGUGAAAGCUGAGAGUGCCUUCGGGAACCGGAACACAGGUGGUGCAUGCCUGUCGUCAGCUCGUGUCGUGAGAUGUUGGGUUAAGUCCCGCAACGAGCGCAACCCUCGUUUCUAGUUGCCAGCAUUAAGUUGGGCACUCUGGAGAGACUGCCGGUGACAAACCGGAGGAAGGUGGGGAUGACGUCAAGUCAGCAUGCCCCUUACGU
rnacentral:rRNA from 1 species